rnacentral:rRNA from 1 species
GGAAUUUUCCGCAAUGGGGGAAACCCUGACGCAGCAACGCCGCGUGACCGAUGAAGCUUCUAGGAGCGUAAAGGUCUGUCGUAAGGGAAGAAAAGACCUGACGGUACCUUACAAGAAAGCACCGGCUAACUUCGUGCCAGCAGCCGCGGUAAUACGAGGGGUGCAGGCGUUGUCCGGAAUCACUGGGCGUAAAGGGUCUGUAGGCGUCUUAAAAAGUCAUUUGUUAAAUACACCGGCUUAACCGGUGACCUGCAUUUGAAACUAUUAAGAUAGAGUAUAGGAGAGGAAAGCGGAAUUCCUGGUGUAGCGGUGACAUGCGUAGAUAUCAGGAGGAACACCAAUGGCGAAGGCAGCUUUCUGGCCUAUUACUGACGCUGAGGGACGAAAGCGUGGGGAGCGAACAGGAUUAGAUACCCCAGUAGUC